UCUCUGUUAAUCUGCGCCCAUAUUUCUGGAUAUCUAUUAUGUGCAGUAAUAGGAUCUUCACCUGAAAUUACGGUUCUUAAUCUGUGAGUAAUAUUAAUAUCCCACAGAGGGAAAGUAUGCAGUUCUGAUUAAGAAGGAUUGAGAGGGUGGAAGAAGAAAAUACCGGUGCUAGGCAGGGAUUGCAGUAUGUCAUUACUUUUAUAUGCCGAGCUCCAAGAUCUUUAAUUAAUUGUUUCCAUCCAGAGUAUCUUGUUGCAUCAACUUCCCAGUUCCACCACAAUUGUGAUCCAAUUACUGUUUCUCUCUGCCCUACCCAAUCCUACACAACAUUCUUCUUUUAGAUAAGGAAUAAAUCUAAAAGAAUGUGUAUACACUUUAGAAAAACUAUAUUAUUAUGAAAGCAUGUAAUAAAUACUAUAUAUCUGUGCAUCACUUUUUGGAUUUGGCUU